UUACAAAGGAAUGUUGAUUGUCACGUGUCACAUUCUGAUUAGAUGAUGAAAAUGUAUUGUUGUUGUCGUCAAUGUCCAAUUAGAACGUGACACGUGAUAGUCAACGUUU
rfam:Glycine soja cultivar W05 scaffold3543_5, whole genome shotgun sequence.